UGGUGCCAGCAGCCGCGGUAAUUCCAGCUCCAAUAGCGUAUAUUAAAGUUGUUGCAGUUAAAAAGCUCGUAGUUGAAUUUCGGGAUCAAAUUGUCGGUCGUGCCUCGGUACGUACUGGCGUUAUUGGUUCCUCCCUUCUGAAGAACCACGAUGUCAUUAAUUUGGUGUCGUGGGGAAUCAGGACUGUUACUUUGAAAAAAUUAGAGUGUUUAAAGCAGGCUCGCGCUUGAAUACAUUAGCAUGGAAUAAUGAAAUAGGACGUUUGAUUCUAUUUUGUUGGUUUCUAGGAUCGACGUAAUGAUUAAUAGGGAUAGUUGGGGGCAUUAGUAUUCAAUUGUCAGAGGUGAAAUUCUUGGAUUUAUUGAAGACUAACUACUGCGAAAGCAUUUGCCAAGGAUGUUUUCAUUAAUCAAGAACGAAAGUUAGGGGAUCGAAGACGAUCAGAUACCGUCGUAGUCUUAACCAUAAACUAUGCCGACUAGGGA
rnacentral:rRNA from 1 species